GAAUAUUGGACAAUGGGGGCAACCCUGAUCCAGCCAUCCCGCGUGUGCGAUGAAGGCCUUCGGGUUGUAAAGCACGUUUGGCAGGGAAGAGAUGGUCCUGGCUAAUACCUGUCUCUGCUGGCGGUACCUGCAGAAUAAGCACCGGCUAACUACGUGCCAGCAGCCGCGGUAAUCCGUAGGGUGCAAGCGUUAAUCGGAAUUACUGGGCGUAAAGCGUGCGCAGGCGGUUCGGCAAGAAGGAUGUGAAAUCCCAGGGCUUAACCUUGGAACUGCAUUCUUAACUGCCGGGCUAGAGUAUGUCAGAGGGGGGUAGAAUUCCGCGUGUAGCAGUGAAAUGCGUAGAGAUGCGGAGGAAUACCGAUGGCGAAGGCAGCCCCCUGGGAUAAUACUGACGCUCAUGCACGAAAGCGUGGGGAGCAAAC
rnacentral:rRNA from 1 species